rnacentral:tRNA from 1 species
GCGGAAGUGGCGGAAAUGGCAGACGCGCUGGAUUCAGGUUCCAGUGGGAAUAAUCCCGUGGGGGUUCAACUCCCCCCUUCCGCA